rnacentral:rRNA from 1 species
ACGCACGCUGGCGGCGUGCUUCACACAUGCAAGUCGAAUGGAAAGGCCCUGCUUUUGUGGGGUGCUCGAGUGGCGAACGGGUGAGUAACACGUGAGUAACCUGCCCUUGACUUUGGGAUAACUUCAGGAAACUGGGGCUAAUACCGGAUAGGAGCUCCUGCUGCAUGGUGGGGGUUGGAAAGUUUCGGCGGUUGGGGAUGGACUCGCGGCUUAUCAGCUUGUUGGUGGGGUAGAGGCUUACCAAGGCUUUGACGGGUAGCCGGCCUGAGAGGGUGACCGGCCACAUUGGGACUGAGAUACGGCCCAGACUCCUACGGGAGGCAGCAGUGGGGAAUAUUGCACAAUGGGCGGAAGCCUGAUGCAGCAACGCCGCGUGCGGGAUGACGGCCUUCGGGUUGUAAACCGCUUUCGCCUGUGACGAAGCGUGAGUGACGGUAAUGGGUAAAGAAGCACCGGCUAACUACGUG